CUACGGUGGCAGCAGUGGGGAAUACUGGACAAUGGGCGCAAGCCUGAUCCAGCAAUACCGCGUGUGUGAAGAAGGCCUGCGGGUUGUAAAGCACUUUCAAUUGUGAAGAAAAGCGAGAGGUUAAUAGCCUUUUGUCUUGACGUUAACUUUAGAAGAAGCACCGGCUAACUCUGUGCCAGCAGCCGCGGUAAUACAGAGGGUGCGAGCGUUAAUCGGAAUUACUGGGCGUAAAGCGUGCGUAGGCGGUUUAGUAAGUCAGAUGUGAAAGCCCUGGGCUCAACCUGGGAACUGCAUUUGAAACUGCUGAACUAGAGUGUGGUAGAGGGAAGUGGAAUUCCGGGUGUAGCGGUGAAAUGCGUAGAUAUCCGGAGGAACACCAGUGGCGAAGGCGACUUCCUGGACCAACACUGACGCUGAGGUACGAAAGCGUGGGUAGCAAACAGGAUUAGAUACCCGCGUAGUC
rnacentral:rRNA from 1 species